GGACUGUAGCUCAGUGGUAGAGUGCUUGCCUUGCACGCUUGAGGCCCUGGGUUUGAUCCUUAGCACCA
rnacentral:tRNA from 1 species